CAUAUAAAACCAAGGGCGACUUCAUUUUGGUGGGUGAUUUGAUGCGAUCUGUCACGCUGGAGGUAAUUUUGAGAAGAUCGCUCGCGACUAUUAACCAAAUUGGAUGACAGUGAUUUCCUCGGGCGGAUAACAGAACAAUCUAUUUGUUUGCCUAAAAGAUGGCUAAGGCCGCAGCAACGGACGACGAACGAUAGCAAGUACCAAAGGUUGCUCAAUGCGAUCUCGGUGAUAUGGUGAAUGUAUUCCGCCACGGUUCGCUCGUGAUGCAAAACUUUGGUGAGCGAACGACGGCGACAACGGGUUGUGUGCUAUUUGGCAUAGUCAGCGAUGCAAUUGGGAAAUUUGACUGACACAAUCAAAUCUGUUGAAAAUUGCAGAUCGACGUGGAUGGAACUAAGAAGGAAGCGGCCGUACAUGAUACAAUCAAGAUUAUAGAAGACCUAACAUGGAUACAUUAGGAUGUCUAGUGUUGAUCAUUAUUAUUGAAUGGAUGCUAUCAGUUGUUUUCAGGUUGACAAAACGAGAAGUUACAAUUUUUUCUGAAAAAGUUGAUUAAUAAAUCAACUCAUUCAAAGAGAGAUGUUCGAAC